rnacentral:rRNA from 1 species
CUACGGGUUGCAGCAGGCGAGAAAACUUUGCAAUGUGCGAAAGCACGACAAGGUUAAUCCGAGUGGUUUGUGCUAAACGAACCUUUUGACAGUCCUAGAAACACUGUUGAAUAAGGGGUGGGCAAGUUCUAGUGUCAGCCGCCGCGGUAAAACCAGCACCUCAAGUGGUCAGGAUGAUUAUUGGGCCUAAAGCAUCCGUAGCCGGCUCUGUAAGUUUUCGGUUAAAUCUGUACGCUCAACGUACAGGCUGCCGGGAAUACUGCAGAGCUAGGGAGUGGGAGAGGUAGACGGUACUCGGUAGGAAGGGGUAAAAUCCUUUGAUCUAUUGAUGACCACCUGUGGCGAAGGCGGUCUACCAGAACACGUCCGACGGUGAGGGAUGAAAGCUGGGGGAGCAAACCGGAUUAGAUACCCCCGUAGUC